AUUGAACGCUGGCGGCAGGCCUAACACAUGCAAGUCGAGCGGAGCGGCGGAAGGGUGCGUAAUGCCUAGGAAUCUGACUGGUAGUGGGGGAUAACGUCAGGUAACGGGCGCUAAUACUGCAUACUAUCAGAUGAGGCUAGGUCGGAUUUGCUAGUUGGGGGGGUAAAGGUCAACCAAGGCCACGAUCCGUAACUGGUCUGAGAGGAUGAUCAGUCACACGGGAACGGAGAAACGGUCCAGACUCCUACGGGAGGCAGCAGUGGGGAAUAUUGGACAAUGGGCGAAAGCCUGAUCCAGCCAUGCCGCGUGUGUGAAGAAGGUCUUCGGAUUGUAAAGUACUUUAAGUUGGGAGGCGUUACCAGCAGAAUAAGCACCGGCUAACUUCGUGCCAGCAGCCGCGGUAAUAC
rnacentral:rRNA from 1 species